rnacentral:rRNA from 1 species
GAUGAACGCUGGCGGCGUGCCUAAUACAUGCAAGUCGAGCGAACAGACGAGGAGCUUGCUCCUCUGACGUUAGCGGCGGACGGGUGAGUAACACGUGGAUAGCCUACCUAUAAGACUGGGAUAACUUAGGGAAACCGGAGCUAAUACCGGAUAAUAUAUUGAACCGCAUGGUUCAAUAGUGAAAGACGGCUUUGCUGUCACUUAUAGAUGGAUCCGCGCCGCAUUAGCUAGUUGGUAAGGUAACGGCUUACCAAGGCAACGAUGCGUAGCCGACCUGAGAGGGGGAUAGGCCACACUGGAACUGAGACACGGUCCAGACUCCUACGGGAGGCAGCAGUAGGGAAUCUUCCGCAAUGGGCGAAAGCCUGACGGAGCAACGCCGCGUGAGUGAUGAAGGUCUUCGGAUCGUAAAACUCUGUUAUUAGGGAAGAACAAAUGUGUAAGUAACUAUGCACGUCUUGACGGUACCUAAUCAGAAAGCCACGGCUAACUACGUG